GUCCAGGGGCGGGAAACGAACCCACAACGUUCCGCUUACCGGGCAGAUGCCAUGUCCACUAGGCUACCCUGGA
rnacentral:tRNA from 1 species